GGAGGAGUGGCCGAGCGGUCGAAGGCGGCGGUCUUGAAAACCGUUGUGGCGCGAGCCACCGGGGGUUCAAAUCCCUCCUCCUCCG
rnacentral:tRNA from 1 species